rnacentral:misc_RNA from 1 species
GAUGAAGAACGUAGCGAAAUGCGAUAAGUAAUGUGAAUUGCAGAAUUCAGUGAAUCAUCGAAUCUUUGAACGCACCUUGCGCCCUUUGGCUAUUCUGAAGGGCAUGCCUGUUUGAGUAUCGUGAACACCUCAACUCUCAUGGUCUGCCAUAAUGAGCUUGGACUUUGGGGGUCUUGCUGGCCUACUGUCAGCUCCUCUCAAAUGAAUCAGCUUACCAGUGUUUGGUGGCACCACAGGUGUGAUAACUAUCUACGCUUGUGGUUUUCUGCCAGGUAACCUCCAGUGAUGGAGGUUCGCUGGAGCUCACAAAUGUCUCUCCUCAGCGAGGACAGCUUUUUGAACGUUUGAUCUCAAAUCAGGUAGGACUACCCGCUGAACUUAAGCAUAUCAAUAAGCGGAGGA